GUGAGCUAGCGGGCAAGUCACUUCAUAACGAAGAGGAAACUCCUCCCUCAUUACAGGCACCUAAGUUAGCGAUAACUAAAGGGAGACUUUUGGCAACGAAACAGAAAGGAAUUCAGCCAGGAUCUUAAGCUGUGAUGACCAAUAGUCUGAGUGAUUCUGGAAUGAAAUGAAACCGUCGUCCUAGGUGGAGAAAGGCCAAACAGAGUUUACACCUGUUUAUUAACUCAGGUAGGCUGCUUAGCUGAAUC
rnacentral:RNase_P_RNA from 1 species